CAAAACUUGCUUGUGAAUGAAUAGGUACAGAUUUGCACGCAAAAUCUGCAAAAAAUGCCCACUGUAACCUGAAAUUUGCUUACCUAUGGAAAACAAACCUACAUCAUAUAAAACACCUGUCAUGGGAUCGAUUCCUUGCUUGCGAUUCACUACAGAAAAAAUGGCGCAAGAAAAAUACUUCUAUGCUUGAUAUCAAAAUCGAAAAUCAGUUUAGGUUGGUAUUUUGCGCACAGGCUUGGCCGGGGCAUCGAUUCCCGUCUCCUUACUCCUCUGCCGUCAUCCUCGCUGUCCCCGUCCUUGCCGUCCCCCCGCUCAUCCAUGUAGAUGACGCCGCCGUGUCGGCCGAACACCUCCCCUGCCUCCCCCCUAGUUAGCGAAAAUUGGGUGAAAAUGGUGAAGGAGUAGGGCGUGUGACUUACCUACUCUCUCCUGAC
rnacentral:lncRNA from 1 species